rnacentral:lncRNA from 1 species
UUCAUCCAUUUUGUCUUGUUGUCUCCAAAAAUAAUGUGAGGUGUAUCAACUAAAAUUGAUUAAUUCUGAUAUUCGUACGUAUUAGUUAUACACCGAGGGAAAGGUGUGUCUGGAUAAGAAACCCCGUCAGCUGGAGGCUGGGCCGUAGCCCGAGGUGUAUAACUAAGUUACACUCCAUUCUAAGCUCUAUAUUGUUAACAUUGAUUAUUAAAUAAAAAAAAAAACGAUAGCAUAUAUUUUAUUGACAAUAUCAAACCAUGAUUUAUAAGAUUUUUGCUUUAUUACAUGAAACCCCAAUAGUAACCUUUUUUGGUUAUCUUCGUUCAAACUUUUACAAGUGAGUAUAUUUUUUCCAAUGUCAAGGUUGUUUUGCAUAUUCCAAUUAAAUUCUUGGGUUAAUAUGGAUCAGCAGGUCAAGGUUGACUGUAUCGUGUAUUCACAUUACAAACAAAACAAAACGUCAUGCUCCUUGUAAACAGUUGUCAAUAUGGAAGGGUAUGAAACGGACGAUAUUUUUUGGCACGGGUUGGAUUUGGUAGAAGAGACUAAAGAUAAAGGCAAUAUUAUAACCCAAAUUACUUACCUGUACCAGUUUUAUAAAGGUAAUCAUAACUAAUUUUUUUUUAUCUUACGAUUUGAUAGAAAAAAAAGCCCCCCUCCUCUCGAGAAUAAUUAAACAUUCAUAUUCGGACCUGCAAGGGGAUAAGUGUGUCUGCAAUAGAAACCCGACUACCUGCAGACACGCUCAGCAUACAAAGAUACAGCUUUGAUAUUUCGAAACUCUCUCUUUUGGGGAGAGGGGCUGAUCUAGCUGGGGUCCAAACUCACCAGAAAGGGGGUGAGGUUCCAAUCAGUCAAAUACAUUGAUCUUUUAAAUCGGGUCCAACCCGCAGAACCCCUACCCCAAGUCGACCACUGGAUAAUGAACGGGUUGGGGGUCCGAGAGUUAGAAUCCCCCUUUUUUCUAAAUAGAAACAUAUGACUGGGAUAAAAAAAAUAUUACUUUCAGCAAAGGAGUAAUUAAAGGAUUUUUUUGUAUUGAAAAUAGAUGCUUAAUUUUUUUUUU